GUAAUGCCUGGGAAAUUGCCCUGAUGUGGGGGAUAACCAUUGGAAACGAUGGCUAAUACCGCAUGAUAGCUUCGGCUCAAAGAGGGGGACCUUCGGGCCUCUCGCGUCAGGAUAUGCCCAGGUGGGAUUAGCUAGUUGGUGAGGUAAUGGCUCACCAAGGCGACGAUCCCUAGCUGGUCUGAGAGGAUGAUCAGCCACACUGGAACUGAGACACGGUCCAGACUCCUACGGGAGGCAGCAGUGGGGAAUAUUGCACAAUGGGCGCAAGCCUGAUGCAGCCAUGCCGCGUGUGUGAAGAAGGCCUUCGGGUUGUAAAGCACU
rnacentral:rRNA from 1 species